AACCCAUGGUGAGGGCAUCUUCGCAAAAGGUCAUUAUGUCUCUCCCAUGCAUCGUAGAGUAUUUCUAAAUCCAUCUGCACAAAAGAAGAGAUAUCAUUAUAUAAUUUGGCU
rfam:Gossypium hirsutum cultivar TM-1 chromosome 10, whole genome shotgun sequence